AUACGGAGGGUGCAAGCGUUACUUGGAAUCACUGGGCGUAAAGGAUGCGUAGGCUGGAUGUCAAGUUGGAAGUGAAAUCCUAUGGCUUAACCAUAGAACUGCUUCCAAAACUGGCAACCUAGAGUGAGGGAGAGGCAGAUGGAAUUAGUGGUGUAGGGGUAAAAUCCGUAGAUAUCACUAGGAAUACCGAUUGCGAAGGCGAUCUGCUAGAACUCUACUGACGCUAAGGCAUGAGAGCGUGGGGAGCAAACAGGAUUAGAUACCCCAGUAGUCC
rnacentral:rRNA from 1 species